UGCAAGGGGACCGAAAACACUAAUUUCGCCACAACAAAACGAAACUCUUCACGUGACGACCGUUUAUUUCAAUUACUUAAAGCAACAAAGAUCGCCCAUUCACAAGCUGAUUACCUGAGAACAAACGGCACGGACACGUUGCAAUCGCCUGCGACGAACAGUCCCCCAAAUGAAAAACCGGGGUCAGUUUGCGAAUAAUUCCGUUGCCAAGUAUAAAAUAAUGGGCAUGUUGGAGAAGUAAGGACGUGAACCCGUAGAAACACUGGCGCUGUCGUAGCUGGAUACUUGCGUUCGGUCACGAUCGCCUUCGGGGGAACACUGAUGGAUCGAAGAACUAAAACGGAUUUAAAACGUUCAAUUCGCUCG